GGGUGAUUAGCUCAGUUGGUUAGAGUACUACCUUGACAUGGUAGGGGUCACAGAUUCAAAUUCUGUAUCACCCACCA
rnacentral:tRNA from 1 species